rnacentral:misc_RNA from 1 species
GGGGACAGUGUUUUACUACCAAUUUAUUUAAUUGGCUUAAAGGGUGAGGAAUGCUCAGUGUCGUCAAACGCGGCGAGGACUCUAGCAUCAAUUGCUCAAGAGUAUGACAAUUUGCUAGAAGGCAGGUAAUAUCCUCUUCAAUAAGAUCAAUGUAGUACAAUUUUAGGAUUUUAAGGUUGGUGAGACCAUCAAAUUUAUGAGGCGGUUUCAAAG